UUACAUUUUUCGGUACUAAAUUCCAGUUUCCUCUCCGUCUCCAUUCCAAACCCUAAUUGCAAAACACUAAUCUCCCCAAAACUUCCAGUAGUUGCAGUUUUCAUCUUUCAAAUUCAUGAUUCCAAGAACCAAAUCUUUUAAUUUCUUCUCGAUUCUGCCCAUUCUCCAUUUUUCUAGAAACCCACUACACGCGAGAGAAAGAGGGGGCUUGAAGGAACAGGAUCUGGUGGCCGCUAAUGACGACGAUGAUGGUGGAUUCACGGUAAUAGUGAGGGUUUACAACUGAGACACAGACAUCGACCACCUGAUGUAGGGUUCGUGAAGGACUGGUUGUCUUGUAAGAGUUCCGGUAAGCUCCCUGCAGAAACGACCGACAGUGGUGAUAGGUUUUGCUAAACUGAUAUUACAUGUUUGCUGGUUGGUUAUUGGAUUCUUGGUUAGAGGAAUAUAUGCACUUUAUGCUUAGUUUAAUUAAAGAUAUAGAUGGUAAAGAUAGGUUUUGCUAAAUUCUAAAGGGCUAGCCAAUUUACACUUGACGGAAAUCUUGUUAGUCUGAUGUUCAAGUUAUGUUUCGACAAAUAUAAAAGAGUGACAAUCAUGUUAUGUUUAGUCUUAGUCUCUGAAAUUUAGUUUCCCACAAAAAUUAUUUUCCCUCAAAUGUGUUUCUAGUCUUAGUCUCUCAGAAAUUGUUAGUUCAUUAUCGGUGGUCUCUGUUCAUCGCCUUGGAAUCACCAGUUAUGAAGAUCUGCAGAUAUCCAAACAAACCAAGCUUCAUGUUCUCAUUUUUAAAUUAAGCAAUCCUACUUCACAAUAGUCAGUUGUUGAAGGUAUAGUUUAUGCCUUGAUUUGAUUGAAGUUUCCUGCAUUCUAAUUUGCUAAUUUGUUAACUUUUCUUGUUUAUUCUGAUAAUUUGCCCAAAUUAUUGUGAUAAUUUGGAUAUUUUCACUUUAAAUUUAUUUAUUUAAUUCCUGGAGUGCAUAUCCUUGUGUUACAAAGGUUUUAUGUGAUGUGUAUGAAUUCAAUUGCACCAUUGUUGAGUUAACCUAUGUAAUUAACUUUCGUCAUAUCAUGCAUUCUUUUAUGUCCAUCUUCGUUCUUUUUUUUUCUUUAGAGAUUCUGAACAUCAACAUUAAAUGAUUAUUUUAUAUUACAACAUGCUUAAAUUAUGGAUUAGUGUGUUUUGUGCAACGAUGCCCAAAUUUGUGAUGCGCCAAACUGUUAAUGCCAAGACAAGCAAACAUUAGGUUUUCAUAUACUCUGACAAUCACCUUUCCUGGUUGAUUCGGAAUGAGGAUUUGAUUAUGCUAGUUUUGUUACCUGGGACAAAUCUAUAAUUUACUUUGCAGCUCUUCUAAAGCUGUAUACGAAGGGUAGCUCACGAACGUGAAAUGGCAUGGCCUAUAGAUGAACUUUUAGUCAAUGAAAGGUUCUACAUAUAUGUGAAGUCAAAUGAGCAAACAACAGCUGCUGCCUUUGUUCCAUCCUCUGUCCCCCCACUACACUACUGUGUGUGACAAUAGUGCCAUCACACUGCGACCUGCAGUUGUCACACAUCGGCCUACCUUUGUUGCCCGUCUCCUCAUUGCUGAGUAAUCCACUUUAAUUUGUCGGAGAUGAAGUUUUCCUCAAAAGCAUUCUAAACUCUAUUGAGACCGUAGCAAGAGGAAGGGUCCAGAGCUUGGACCCAAAUGAUCUAGUUGGUGGUACAGAGAUUGGACCAGAAUGGUGUGAGGUAAACGUUCAAGUACCAAUAAAAAAGAUGAAAACUUGGUAAGAUCAUAUGGUUUAUUUUCUACAAUUCAAGAUUGUAUUGGUGCAUCCAUCGCAUGGCCCUAUCCAUUCAUCUCGGUAGUCCAUGAGGAUUGAGGACGCAUGAUGACUCAAGAUUUUAUGCUUCUUAUUCUUUAAUUGCUUUGAAUUUCAUUGUUAAAUGUUAAGACUUUAUGUUAGAUAAUAUUAUUACUUAUUUAUGGUUAGUGUUUUUGUUAUGAACAUGCAUAUUUGAAAUAUAAUGAAGUUUUAUUUCUUUCAUUA